ACCUAUCUGACGAGUCCCAAAGAGAACGAAACGCAUGUCGAGGAU
rfam:Schistosoma mattheei strain Denwood, Zambia genome assembly, scaffold: SMTD_scaffold0008343